GAUGAACGCUAGCUACAGGCUUAACACAUGCAAGUCGAGGGGAAACGACAUCGAAAGCUUGCUUUUGAUGGGCGUCGACCGGCGCACGGGUGAGUAACGCGUAUCCAACCUGCCCACCACUUGGGGAUAACCUUGCGAAAGUAAGACUAAUACCCAAUGACGUCUCUAGAAGACAUCUGAAAGAGAUUAAAGAUUUAUCGGUGAUGGAUGGGGAUGCGUCUGAUUAGAUUGUUGGCGGGGUAACGGCCCACCAAGGCGACGAUCAGUAGGGGUUCUGAGAGGAGGGUCCCCCACAUUGGAACUGAGACACGGUCCAAACGCCUACGGGAGGCAGCAGUGAGGAAUAUUGGUCAAUGGGCGAGAGCCUGAACCAGCCAAGUAGCGUGCAGGAUGACGGCCCUAUGGGUUGUAAACUGCUUUUAUAAGGGAAUAAAGUGAGUCUCGUGGGACUUUUUGCAUGUACCUUAUGAAUAAGGACCGGCUAAUUCCGUGCCAGCCGCCGCGGUAA
rnacentral:rRNA from 1 species